UGUCAAAUGUCUUUACAUUUUGUCAAACAUAUAUGUGUGUAUGUGGGGGGUAGUGAUGGGAUAUUCCCUCAUUUCACUUUUUUUUAAGCUGUAUAUCAUUCUGUUAGACAGAAAGUUGAGAUGUCUAUUGGUCUAAGUAUGGCACAAUGCAAAAAAAAAUAAAAAAUAAAAGGUUUAAAAAUAAAUGUAUCUCAAAGAUAAAAAAAAAACACAACAUCAAGGCAGGACUGAAUGUAUCACAACCAGUUUGAUUAUUUGUACAUGGCGAGGGGAAGGGACUGGAUGUUGCUCUGUUAUCAGACCAGUCACCUCAAACAUGAAUCAAGACAAGAUUUUGUGCAGCUGAUUUCUACAAUUUGAAAUCAUUUGUGAGGAUCAACAGUUCAAUGAUUAGCCUAUUUUUGUUUUAAUUUAAUAUUUGCAAAACAAAACACACAAAAUAAAUAAGCUUGAUGAUGCAAGCUGUGACAAACAUUGUCAAGGUCAAUAUCAUUAUGCAAUGAAUAAGCUUAGAACACUUGCACAAAUAAUAU